GAUCCUGGCUCAGGAUGAACGCUGGCGGCGUGCUUAACACAUGCAAGUCGAGCGAAGCACUUAAGUUUGAUUCUUCGGACGAAGACCUUUGUGACUGAGCGGCGGACGGGUGAGUAACGCGUGGGUAACCUGCCUCAUACAGGGGGAUAACAGUUAGAAAUGGCUGCUAAUACCGCAUAAGACCACAGUACUGCAUGGUACAGUGGUAAAAACUCCGGUGGUAUGAGAUGGACCCGCGU
rnacentral:rRNA from 1 species